rnacentral:rRNA from 1 species
CUCGUAGGUGACCUGCGGAGGGAUCAUUACCGAGUUCAUGCCCUUACGGGUAGAUCUCCCACCCUGUGUUAUUAUUACCUUUGUUGCUUUGGCGGGCCGUCAGAUUUCGGUCAGGCUACCGGCUCCGGCUGGUAAGCGCCCGCCAGAGGACCCCAAACUCCUGAAUAUUAGUGUCGUCUGAGUACUAUAUAAUAGUUAAAACUUUCAACAACGGAUCUCUUGGUUCUGGCAUCGAUGAAGAACGCAGCGAAAUGCGAUAAGUAAUGUGAAUUGCAGAAUUCAGUGAAUCAUCGAAUCUUUGAACGCACAUUGCGCCCCUUGGUAUUCCGAGGGGCAUGCCUGUUCGAGCGUCAUUACAACCCUCAAGCACUGCUUGGUAUUGGGCUCCGCUGCUUAUACAGCGGGCCUUAAAAUUAGUGGCGGUGUCAUUAGGCCCUGAGCGUAGUAAAUAUCCUCGCUAUAGGGACUUGGUGAUUACUGGCCAGCAACCCCCACUUUCUAAGUUUGACCUCGGAUCAGGUAGGGAUACCCGCUGAACUUAAGCAUAUCAAUAAGCGGAGGAAAAGAAACCAACAGGGAUUGCCUCAGUAACGGCGAGUGAAGCGGCAACAGCUCAAAUUUGAAAUCUGGCUCUUUCAGGGUCCGAGUUGUAAUUUGUAGAAGAUGCUUCGGGUGUGGCUCCGGUCUAAGUUCCUUGGAACAGGACGUCAUAGAGGGUGAGAAUCCCGUAUGUGACUGGCUGCCUUCGCCUAUGUGAAGCUCUUUCGACGAGUCGAGUUGUUUGGGAAUGCAGCUCAAAAUGGGUGGUAAAUUUCAUCUAAAGCUAAAUAUUGGCCAGAGACCGAUAGCGCACAAGUAGAGUGAUCGAAAGAUGAAAAGCACUUUGAA